rnacentral:rRNA from 1 species
AUCUUGGACAAUGGGGGAAACCCUGAUCCAGCCAUGCCGCGUGUGUGAAGAAGGCCUUCGGGUUGUAAAGCACUUUCAGCGGGGAGGAAGGCUUCUGGCUAAUACCCGGGAGUACUUGACGUUACCCGCAGAAGAAGCACCGGCUAAUUUCGUGCCAGCAGCCGCGGUAAUACGAAAGGUGCGAGCGUUAAUCGGAAUUACUGGGCGUAAAGCGCGCGUAGGCGGCUAUUUAAGUCGGAUGUGAAAUCCCCGGGCUCAACCUGGGAAUUGCAUCCGAUACUGGGUAGCUAGAGUGCGGUAGAGGGAGGUGGAAUUCCAGGUGUAGCGGUGAAAUGCGUAGAGAUCUGGAGGAACACCAGUGGCGAAGGCGGCCUCCUGGACUGACACUGACGCUGAGGUGCGAGAGCGUGGGGAUCAAACAGG